CUGGCCUACACCAGAGCCACAGAAACGCAGGAUCCGAGCCAUGUCUGCAACCUACACCACAGCUCAUGGCAACGCCAGAUCCUUAACCCACUGAGCAAGGCCAGGGAUCAAAACUGCAACCUCAUGGUUCCUAGUCAGAUUCAUUAACCACUGAGCCACGACGGGAACUCCCACAAUUUCAUUCUUUAGAUUAUGACAAACAGUAAUACUAGUAAUCUGGUGUGUUACUACAGUGUUUUGAGGAAAUUGGUGUUCUCUGAAAAACAGCUCAUACAUUGAUGAUUGCAGAGUUUUGCCCAUACAUGCAUCAGAAGCAAUCUUUGUUCUCUGUGCAUCUUCAGUAUUGUGAGUCACUAAGAGAUAUGUGGCACUGCUUCAGAACUGGCUUUGUUGCCUGGUGGCCAGGGUGCCUGCUCCCCUUUACUUUCUUUACCUUCCAGUAGGUUAGCCCAAGCUUGUUCUCACUUUAUUCUACUGGCCAAAGCAAGACACGAGACUAGCCUGGUAUUCAGAAUGGGUGGAGACUACAAAUUACAGGGCAAAGGGCAUGGGUACAGCGUGGCCAAUAUAUAAAGCCAUAUAACCUCUGUGUCUUGUCUAUAAAAAUAAAGAAAAUACAUAUCUUAUAGAAUUUUGUGAUGAGUUUAAACAUGUAAAAAAAAUAGUUAAUACAUGUAAAAUGUUGAGAUUAGGGCCCUGCAACCAGUGGGCACUAUAUAAAUAUUUUCUUAUUAUUUUGAGUUGGUUGUUGCUUCUUGUUAAGGGACUUCUACUUUUCUACUUUGUUCGUAGUUAAACAUUUUUCUUGGUUUUAUUUAAUUAUAUAUGUAUUUUUGUGGUUGCAUAGUGUUAUAUUGUAUAAUCAAACAUAAGCUCAAAUUAUAACUUUGGUUUUUUUUUUUUUUCCCUCUCUCUAGUGUUUGGUGAAGUUCUCUUCUCUACUAGCAAGUGGGAUUGGGAGAGAUAGAUUGGCCAAGGGGUCUGUGAAAGGCAACCCUUGGAAUUGUACAGUGCCCAUCCUGUGUGACUGUACACAGCAGUCCUGAGAUUGCCAG
ensembl:lncRNA